ACUCAAAUGAAUUGACGGGGGCCCGCACAAGCGGCGGAGCAUGUUGCUUAAUUCGAUGCAACGCGAAGAACCUUACCUGGGUUGAACUACGCAGGAAAAGCCACAGAGAUGUGGUGUCCGAAAGGGCCUGCGAUAGGUGGUGCAUGGCUGUCGUCAGCUCGUGUCGUGAGAUGUUGGGUUAAGUCCCGCAACGAGCGCAACCCUUAUCCCAUGUUGCCAGCGGGUUAUGCCGGGGACUCGUGGGAGACUGCCGGGGUCAACUCGGAGGAAGGUGGGGAUGACGUCAAGUCAGCAUGCCCCUUAUGUCCAGGGCUGCAAACAUGCUACAAUGGCCGGUACAAAGGGUCGCGAGUCCGCGAGGAUGAGCCAAUCCCAUAAAGCCGGUCUCAGUUCGGAUCGGAGUCUGCAACUCGACUCCGUGAAGUCGGAGUCGCUAGUAAUCCCGAAUCAGCAACGUCGGGGUGAAUACGUUCCCGGGCCUUGUACACACCGCCCGU
rnacentral:rRNA from 1 species